AACGCGAAGAACCUUACCAGGGCUUAACAUGCAGGUGAGCCCCGAGAGAUCGGGGGGCCUAGCGGAGCCUGCGCAGGUGGUGCAUGGCUGUCGUCAGCUCGUGUCGUGAGAUGUUCGGUUAAGUCCGGCAACGAGCGCAACCCCCGUCGCGUGUUGCCAUCAUUCGGUUGGGCACUCGCGCGAGACUGCCGGCGCCAAGCCGGAGGAAGGUGGGGACGACGUCAAGUCAUCAUGCCCCUUACGCCCUGGGCCGCACACGUGCUACAAUGGCCGGCACAGAGGGUUGCCACCCCGCGAGGGGGAGCGGAUCCCGAAAGCCGGCCCCAGUUCGGAUCGGAGGCUGCAACCCGCCUCCGUGAAGCCGGAGUUGCUAGCAAUCGCGGAUCAGCACGCCGCGGUGAAUACGUUCCCGGGUCUUGUACACACCG
rnacentral:rRNA from 1 species